AGUGAACGCUGGCGGUAGGCCUAACACAUGCAAGUCGAACGGCAGCACAGUAAGAGCUUGCUCUUACGGGUGGCGAGUGGCGGACGGGUGAGGAAUACAUCGGAAUCUACUUUUUCGUGGGGGAUAACGUAGGGAAACUUACGCUAAUACCGCAUACGACCUACGGGUGAAAGCAGGGGAUCUUCGGACCUUGCGCGAUUGAAUGAGCCGAUGUCGGAUUAGCUAGUUGGCGGGGUAAAGGCACACCAAGGCGACGGUCCGUAGCUGGGCUGAGAGGAUGACCAGCCACACUGGAACUGAGACACGCUCCAGACUCCUACGGGAGGCAGCAGUGGGGAAUAUUGGACAAUGGGCGCAAGCCUGAUCCAGCCAUACCGCGUGGGUGAAGAAGGCCUUCGGGUUGUAAAGCCCUUUUGUUGGGAAAGAAAAGCAGCAGGUUAAUACCCCGCUGUUCUGACGGUACCCAAAGAAUAAGCACCGGCUAACUUCGUG
rnacentral:rRNA from 1 species